rnacentral:rRNA from 1 species
GACGAACGCUGGCGGCGUGCCUAAUACAUGCAAGUCGAACGCUUCUUUCCUCCCGAGUGCUUGCACUCAAUUGGAAAGAGGAGUGGCGGACGGGUGAGUAACACGUGGGUAACCUACCCAUCAGAGGGGGAUAACACUUGGAAACAGGUGCUAAUACCGCAUAACAGUUUAUGCCGCAUGGCAUAAGAGUGAAAGGCGCUUUCGGGUGUCGCUGAUGGAUGGACCCGCGGUGCAUUAGCUAGUUGGUGAGGUAACGGCUCACCAAGGCCACGAUGCAUAGCCGACCUGAGAGGGUGAUCGGCCACACUGGGACUGAGACACGGCCCAGACUCCUACGGGAGGCAGCAGUAGGGAAUCUUCGGCAAUGGACGAAAGUCUCACCGAGCAACGCCGCGUGAGUGAAGAAGGUUUUCGGAUCGUAAAACUCUGUUGUUAGAGAAGAACAAGGACGUUAGUAACUGAACGUCCCCUGACGGUAUCUAACCAGAAAGCCACGGCUAACUACGUG